rnacentral:rRNA from 1 species
CUUGGGACAGAUUUAUGCCCCCGUAACUACUGGCAGUUCUUUGUUUGGUGUCACUCCUUCCUGCCGGGUUUCGACUCGUUUUACACCGUGGCUCUUGGGGCAGUUACUUGGUCCAUCUGGCUAGCUCGUAACAAAGCUACCUUUGAGAAAAAAAUGAUCAAAUCUCCUUUUGAGAUUGUCUUCACGGCAGUUUCUUUUCUCUUGUAUUGGGCAGGUCUACAGGCGGGGGACGACGUCACGCAACUUCGAGCGGGUGCUGAGAUGAUACGCAACGGGACCCUGCUGUUGAUGAGGACCUGCGAUGCAUCCAAGGGUGGAAUGUGA